rnacentral:rRNA from 1 species
ACCAGACUCCUACGGGAGGCAGCAGUGGGGGAUAUUGCACAAUGGGGGGAACCCUGAUGCAGCGACGCCGCGUGGGUGAAGGAGUGCUUCGGCAUGUAAGGCCCUAUCGGCAGGGAAGAAGCAAGACGGUACCUGACUAGGAAGCCCCGGCUAACUACGUGCCAGCAGCCGCGGUAAUACGUAGGGGGCGAGCGUUAUCCGGAUUCACUGGGUGUAAAGGGAGCGUAGGCGGUGCAGCAAGUCAGAAGUGAAAGCCCGGGGCUCAACUCCGGGACUGCUUUUGAAACUGUUGAACUAGAUUGCAGGAGAGGUAAGUGGAAUUCCUAGUGUAGCGGUGAAAUGCGUAGAUAUUAGGAGGAACACCAGUGGCGAAGGCGGCUUACUGGACUGUAAAUGACGCUGAGGCUCGAAAGCGUGGGGAGCAAACAGGAUUAGAUACCCUAGUAGCA